rnacentral:rRNA from 1 species
UACUACAGCUUGGCACUGAACAUUGACCCUACAUGUGUAGGAUAGGUGGGAGGCUUUGAAGCAGGUACGCCAGUAUCUGUGGAGCCGUCCUUGAAAUACCACCCUUGUAGUGUUGAUGUUCUAACGUCGACCCCUAAUCGGGGUUGCGGACAGUGCCUGGUGGGUAGUUUGACUGGGGCGGUCUCCUCCCAAAGAGUAACGGAGGAGCACGAAGGUGGGCUAAUCACGGUUGGACAUCGUGAGGUUAGUGCAAUG